rnacentral:rRNA from 1 species
CCGGCCCGGCUCUAUACACACACGUGGGCAGGAUGAAAAUUCUAAGGCGCUUGAGAGAACUCAGGAGAAGGAACUCGGCAAAUUGACACCGUAACUUCGGAAGAAGGUGUGCCCUGGUAGGUUGUAGCCGUACAGGCGAAGGCCGAAGGGGUUGCAAAAAAUCGGUGGCUGCGACUGUUUAAUAAAAACACAGCACUCUGCAAACACGAUGAGUGGACGUAUAGGGUGUGACGCCUGCCCGGUGCCGGAAGGUUAAAUGAUGGGGUGCGAGCUCUUGAUUGAAGCCCCGGUAAACGGCGGCCGUAACAAUAACGGUCCUAAGGUAGCGAAAUUCCUUGUCGGGUAAGUUCCGACCUGCACGAAUGGCGUAACGAUGGCCACACUGUCUCCUCCUGAGACUCAGCGAAGUUGAAAUGUUUGUGAUGAUGCAAUCUACCCGCGGCUAGACGGAAAGACCCCGUGCACCUUUACUGUAGCUUUGCAUUGGACUGUGAUGGGAUCUGUGUAGGAUAGGUGGGAGGCUUUGAAGUGGGGGCGCUAGCUCUCAUGGAGCCGACGUUGAAAUACCACCCUGAUGUCAUUGCGGUUCUAACCUUGGCCCCUAUAGCGGGGUUGGGGACAGUGCAUGGUAGGCAGUUUGACUGGGGCGGUCUCCUCCCAAAGAGUAACGGAGGAGCUCGAAGGUACGCUAGGUACGGUCGGACAUCGUGCUGAUAGUGCAAUGGCACAAGCGUGCUUGACUGCGAGACUGACAGUCGAGCAGGUGCGAAAGCAGGACAUAGUGAUCCGGUGGUUCUGAAUGGAAGGGCCAUCGCUCAACGGAUAAAAGGUGCGCCGGGGAUAACAGGCUGAUUCCUCCCAAGAGUUCAUAUCGACGGGGGAGUUUGGCACCUCGAUGUCGGCUCAUCACAUCCUGGGGCUGUAGCCGGUCCCAAGGGUAUGGCUGUUCGCCAUUUAAAGUGGUACGUGAGCUGGGUUUAAAACGUCGUGAGACAGUUUGGUCCCUAUCUGCCGUGGGCGUUGGACGUUUGAGGGGGGCUGCUCCUAGUACGAGAGGACCGGAGUGGACGAAUCUCUGGUGUACCGGUUAUCACGCCAGUGGUAUUGCCGGGUAGCUAAAUUCGGAAGAGAUAAGCGCUGAAAGCAUCUAAGCGCGAAACUUGCCUCAAGAUGAGACGUCCCGUGAUGUAAGUCACCUAAAGGGUCGCGGUAGACCACCGCGUUGAUAGGUCGGGUGUGGAAGCGCAGUAAUGCGUUAAGCUAACCGAUACUAAUUGCCCGUGCGACUUGAUCCU